rnacentral:rRNA from 1 species
GAUGAACGCUGGCGGCAUGCCUUACACAUGCAAGUCGAACGGCAGCGGGGGAGAAGCUUGCUUUUCCUGCCGGCGAGUGGCGAACGGGUGAGUAAUACAUCGGAACGUGCCCUGUAGUGGGGGAUAACUAGUCGAAAGAUUAGCUAAUACCGCAUACGACCUGAGGGUGAAAGUGGGGGACCGCAAGGCCUCAUGCUAUAGGAGCGGCCGAUGUCUGAUUAGCUAGUUGGUGGGGUAAAGGCCUACCAAGGCGACGAUCAGUAGCUGGUCUGAGAGGACGAUCAGCCACACUGGGACUGAGACACGGCCCAGACUCCUACGGGAGGCAGCAGUGGGGAAUUUUGGACAAUGGGCGAAAGCCUGAUCCAGCAACGCCGCGUGUGUGAAGAAGGCCUUCGGGUUGUAAAGCACUUUUGUCCGGAAAGAAAUGGCUCUGGUUAAUACCUGGGGUCGAUGACGGUACCGGAAGAAUAAGGACUGGCUAACUACGUGCCAGCAGCCGCCGUAA